rnacentral:tRNA from 1 species
AGUCAAUAAGUUUAUAAAACUUAUACCUUGAAAGUAUAGAAUGAGAAUUAAACUUUCUCAUUGACUU